rnacentral:rRNA from 1 species
CCUACGGGAGGCAGCAGUGAGGAAUAUUGGUCAAUGGGCGAGAGCCUGAACCAGCCAAGUCGCGUGCAGGAUGACGGCCCUAUGGGUUGUAAACUGCUUUUAUACGAGAAUAAUUUGAUGCACGUGUGCGUUAUUGCAUGUAUCGUAUGAAUAAGGACCGGCUAAUUCCGUGCCAGCAGCCGCGGUAAUACGGAAGGUCCAGGCGUUAUCCGGAUUUAUUGGGUUUAAAGGGAGUGUAGGCGGUUUGUUAAGCGUGUUGUGAAAUUUAGGUGCUCAACAUUUAACUUGCAGCGCGAACUGUCAGACUUGAGUACACGCAACGUAUGCGGAAUUCAUGGUGUAGCGGUGAAAUGCUUAGAUAUCAUGAAGAACUCCGAUUGCGAAGGCAGCAUACGGGAGUGUAACUGACGCUUAAGCUCGAAGGUGCGGGUAUCGAACAGGAUUAGAUACCCUGGUAGUCCGCACAGUAAACGAUGGAUGCCCGCUGUUAGCGCCUGGCGUUAGCGGCUAAGCGAAAGCAUUAAGCAUCCCACCUGGGGAGUACGCCGGCAACGGUGAAACUCAAAGGAAUUGACGG